rnacentral:tRNA from 1 species
GCCCAGAUGUUGGAAUCGGUAGACAAGUCGGUCUCAAACACCGAUGCUGAAAGGCGUGCGGGUUCGACCCCCGCUCUGGGUA